AUUGAACGCUGGCGGCGUGCUUAACACAUGCAAGUCGAUCGGUAACGCGGGGGCAACCCUGGCGACGAGAGGCGGACGGGUGAGGAACGCUUGGGAAUCUGCCUAUCAGCGGGGGACAACCCGGGGAAACCCGGGCUAAUACCGCAUACGCUCUACGGAGGAAAGCCGGGGACCGCAAGGCCUGGCACUGAUAGAUGAGCCCAAGUCGGAUUAGCUAGUUGGCGGGGUAACGGCCCACCAAGGCGACGAUCCGUAGCUGGUCUGAGAGGACGAUCAGCCACACUGGAACUGAGACACGGUCCAAACUCCUACGGGAGGCAGCAGUGGGGAAUAUUGGACAAUGGGGGAAACCCUGAUCCUGCGACGCCGCGUGGGUGAAGAAGGCCUGCGGGUUGUAAAGCCCUUUCGGUAAGGACGAAAGCUCUCGACCUAACACGUCGGGAGGUUGACUUAACCUACAAAAGAAGCACCGGCUAACUCUGUGCCAGCAGCCGCGGUAAUACAGAGGGUGCGAGCGUUAAUCGGAAUUACUGGGCGUAAAGCGCACGUAGGGGGCUUGGUAUGUCGGGUGUGAAAUCCCCGGGCUCAACCUGGGAACUGCAUCCGAAACUGCCUUGCUAGAGUAUGGGAGAGGGAAGUGGAAUUUCCGGUGUAGCGGUGAAUGCGUAGAUAUCGGAAGGAACAUCAGUGGCGAAGGCGACUUCCUGGACCAAUACUGACGCUCAGGUGCGA
rnacentral:rRNA from 1 species